rnacentral:rRNA from 1 species
AUACGAAGGGUGCAAGCGUUGUUCGGAAUCACUGGGCGUAAAGAAUGCGUAGGCGGCUUGACAAGUCAGGAGUGAAAUCCCAGGGCUCAACCCUGGAACUGCUUUUGAAACUGUCUUGCUAGAGUCCCGGAGGGGUUAGCGGAAUUCCGAGUGUAGAGGUGAAAUUCGCAGAUAUUCGGAGGAACACCAGUGGCGAAGGCGGCUAACUGGACGGGAACUGACGCUGAGGCAUGAAAGUGUGGGGAUCAAACAGGAUUAGAUACCCUGGUAGUCCACACCGUAAACGAUGUGUGCUAGUUGUCGGGCAGCUUUGCUGUUCGGUGACGGAGCUAACGUUUUAAGCACACCGCCUGGGAAGUACGGCCGCAAGGUUAAA